AAGAUGGCGACCGGCGCACGGGUGAGUAACACGUAUCCAACCUGCCGAUAACUCUGGAAUAGCCUUUCGAAAGAAAGAUUAAUACCGGAUGGCAUACGAAUAUCGCAUGAUAUUUUUAUUAAAGAAUUUCGGUUAUCGAUGGGGAUGCGUUCCAUUAGUUUGUUGGCGGGGUAACGGCCCACCAAGACAACGAUGGAUAGGGGUCCUGAGAGGAAGGUCCCCCACAUUGGAACUGAGACACGGUCCAA
rnacentral:rRNA from 1 species